rnacentral:rRNA from 1 species
UACAGAGGGUGCAAGCGUUGUUCGGAAUUACUGGGCGUAAAGCGUGCGUAGUCGGUAUUGAGAGUCACGGGUGAAAUCCCAAGGCUUAACCUUGGAACUGCCUGUGAGACCUCAGUACUAGAGUGUGAGAGGGGAUAGUGGAAUACCCAGUGUAGCGGUGAAAUGCGUAGAGAUUGGGUGGAACACCGGUGGCGAAGGCGGCUAUCUGGCUCACAACUGACGAUCAGGCACGAAAGCGUGGGGAGCAAACAGGAUUAGAUACCCUGGUAGUCCACGCCGUAAACUAUGCAUACAAGCUGUAGUGGGAUUUUACUCCUGCUGUGGCGAAGCUAACGCAAUUAGUAUGCCGCCUGGGGAGUACGGUCGCAAGACUAAA